rnacentral:lncRNA from 1 species
GAGACCAUAUCUUUUAAUAGAAUGAUAAUGGAAUUUGUACUCAUGAAAAAGAUCUAUUGUAUAUUUUCUAAGGCACCUCAAAACUGGAAGCUUGUCCCUGUAAUUUGUUUGGUUAUUUCGUGUAGAGGUCAGAAACCCUGUCUGAAAUUUUGGGUUGUGUAGAGGUCAGAAACCGUGUCCCUAUAAGAUGGAUGAUAACAGUUUUUCAAAAGAAAACAGAGACCCUGUCUGUAAACCAAUGUAUUGGUACAUUCCAAGCAAAGAAAAAUACAUAGUCUAAUAUCCAAAAGUAAAAAAAUACAUAGUCUAAUAUCCAAAAUCAUCAAAUUACAUCCAAAAUCACAUCCUCAAAGUUACAUAAAAAAUACAGGAUGCGUGGCUAUAAUGGCUUUAUCUUCAGGACGAACAAUAGGCAUGUAAUGGCUACACUGAAGAACAUCUCCUCGACUGUUUACAAUCUGAAAAUAUGUUCAAAGUCAUUAAUUGUUUUUCACAGAUACAAUCUGAACAUAACUUGAUACAUCUACAUAAAAUACAAAAUCAGAUAACUUGCAAACAAGAAGUUACGGAAAAUUGCACAACAUGGCAACCAUACUAUUAUGACAUAAUUGCAGUCUACUAUACUAUUAUCAGAUAACAAGAAGUUUACACAUCAUCACUUACAUUAAAAUUGCAAAAAACAAUGAUCUUACUUACUGUUAUCAUAAUUGUAGUCUACCAUUCUGUUAUCAGAUAACAAGAAGUUUACACAUCAUCACUUACAUUAAAAUUGCAGAAAACAAUGAUCUUACUUACUGUUAUCAUAAUUGCAGUCUACCAUAGUCUAAAUGACAAGCCCAACAUGUUAAUAAAAGUUAUAGUGAUAUUCCUGAAAUGAAAAACAAAAUGUAAAUUUCAAGUUAUGUAUGAUACACUAAUUAUGUAUGAGAUGAAGAAAGGAAUUUCAAGUUACUUGUCUUGCCGCUCUAAUUUGUUUAUGGAACUGUUAAAUUAUGAGAAAUGGUUUGAAGCAGCAAUAAAGUGUUUAUAUGCUUAUUUAGUUGCACUUGUAUAAUUCUGGUGGUUGGCCUCCUCUGUGUCUGUGUCUCUGUGGUGGUGGAAUUAGGACUAGGAGAGCCAAUUAUGGACAGAACCCUUUUCAUACAAUUAUUAAAAGAGAAAUUACGAGCUUUGAGACCUAAUACAUACAUUCAUUGUAUCUAGACAAUUACACAUUCGCACGCUUACGGAGUAAUCUAGUCGUACUGGUACACCAAGAGGAACAUCGCACCUGGACGAUAUCUAUCCAUGAUCCAUCCAUAUAUGAAUUUAUACUAAAAUAUAAUAAAACAAAUAUCAAAUCAUUUAAUUAGUCCCGAAUUGAGUAAUUCAAGUUUAUUGAAACAUACCCCAAAAGUUUUUUUGCUCUGUGAAUUCGCGAAUCGGAUCUAGUGAUUACUGCCCUUUUGCUUCAGUUCCAUUUGAGAUAAUCGGAAUCUAGUGAUUACUGCCCCUUCGCGAAAUGGCAGAGUUUGAGGUGAGGGAGUAUGAGAUCUCUUUGCUUUAGAUCUGCGAAAUUCGUGAAAUGAAUGUAAUUGAGAGGAUCUCUUUGCUUCGUUUGCUUCAGCUGUUAAAUUCGUCUCGAUUUUAUUUAGAAAUGGUCUCUUUUUGACCCGCGUGUGACCCGGAUCUCAGCCUAUGACCUGCGUGUUCCCUUUGGUCCGUCUGUUGGUCCGUCCAAAUGGUCCGUCU